rnacentral:rRNA from 1 species
GUAAGGAAUAUUGGACAAUGGACGCAAGUCUGAUCCAGCCAUGCCGCGUGAAGGGUUAAGGUCCUCUGGAUUGUAAACUUCUUUUAUAAGGGACGAAAAAAGGCUUUUCUAAGUCGUCUGACGGUACCUUAUGAAUAAGCACCGGCUAACUCCGUGCCAGCAGCCGCGGUAAUACGGAGGGUGCAAGCGUUAUCCGGAUUCACUGGGUUUAAAGGGUGCGUAGGCGGGCAGGUAAGUCAGUGGUGAAAUCCUAGAGCUUAACUCUAGAACUGCCAUUGAUACUAUCUGUCUUGAAUAUUGUGGAGGUAAGCGGAAUAUGUCAUGUAGCGGUGAAAUGCUUAGAUAUGACAUAGAACACCUAUUGCGAAGGCAGCUUACUACGCAUAUAUUGACGCUGAGGCACGAUAGCGUGGGGAUCAAACAGGAUUAGAAACCCCAGUAGUCC